rnacentral:pre_miRNA from 1 species
AGUAGGAUAGCUGGGUCAAACUGUGGUUCCAUUUCAAAUUUUCCAAGGAAUCACCAUACUGCUUUCCAUAUUGGUUGCACCAAUUUGCAAUCCCACCAGCAAU